rnacentral:tRNA from 1 species
GCCUAGGAUAUAGACUGUAAAAAUGCAGGUAUAGCCCUGUCACGGCUGUGACGCGGGUUCGAAUCCCGCUCCGGGCG